rnacentral:rRNA from 1 species
AUUGAACGCUGGCGGCAUGCCUUACACAUGCAAGUCGAACGGUAACGCGGGGCAACCUGGCGACGAGUGGCGAACGGGUGAGUAAUGCAUCGGAACGUACCCAGUAGUGGGGGAUAGCCCGGCGAAAGCCGGAUUAAUACCGCAUACGACCUACGGGUGAAAGGGGGGGAUCGCAAGACCUCUCGCUAUUGGAGCGGCCGAUGUCAGAUUAGGUAGUUGGUGGGGUAAAAGCCUACCAAGCCUGUGAUCUGUAGCUGGUCUGAGAGGACGACCAGCCACACUGGGACUGAGACACGGCCCAGACUUCCUACGGGAGGCAGCAGUGGGGGAAUUUUGGACAAUGGGCGCAAGCCUGAUCCAGCAAUGCCGCGUGCGGGAAGAAGGCCUCGGUUGUAA